CUCAGUGAUUUCGUUCAAUAUAAUGAACGAAAUAUCUUGGUUGAUUUUUUCAACCAUUUAACCAUAAAAUUUUUAUUCUUUAUUCUUUGUCGUAUGAAGCCAAAUACCGUAUAACAUAGCCAUAAUACAGCAACCUUUUUAAAAACAAACCAGAAAAUAUUAAAUUAACUCAACUAUUUCGUUGUAAACGGCUAAAAUAAAAUUUUAAAGCUCUUUCUCGCUCAGUCCCAAGCAUCGUAGGUCGUUAAAAGCUGCCAACCUUUAAGGUCCAGACACACCGGGCGCGAUUCCACAACGCGACGCGAUUUUAUAGUUUUUGAAAGUUAAUACAACAGCCAAUGAGAGCAAAUCUUAAAAGACAUGUAGACCAAAUAACGAAAAUGUUAUAACGCUUCUAAAUACUUGGAAAAUUUAAACUAGAAUUAAAGUUAUCGGUCAGUGAAAAUCGAAAAAUCGCGUCGCAUUGUCAAAUCGCAUCCGGUGUGUCUGGACCUUUAGAUGUUCAUAUCUUGAGUUUAGUGCAUGCUAUGAACACAAUAAUACCACCAUUUGAUUCAGUGAAAAAAUCAAAUAGUUCCUUACAAUAGCUUUAGUCAUUAUCAACGUUGUAGCGAUUUAUUGCUUCUGAAAGGCAAGCGAGAUUGUAUAUUAUCGAAUCAAAGUACUCAAUAAAAAUAUAGACUGGCCGUAUCUUUCGCUGAACAUAUAACUUCGGCCACGCUACAGGGGUAAUGUGACUCGAAUCGGUUUCCGACGAACGGUUUCCGACGUUUCCCGAGUGCUAGGACAGCAUUGUUUCGACAAUCAGUUUGUAUUUCCGGUUGAAGCUCUCACUAAAAAUUUAGAUAUUCUGAAAUACCGAAAUAAAAGAUGCAAAUCUGUAGAUACAAGCUUGAAAAUAAACUCUGAAUAGUGUUUUGGAUUCUGAUUCGAACAAGACUAUUACGAAAAAGAUAUGUUGAAAGGGACUAAAUUUCUGUUCGGCGAGAGGUUAUGCACUUAUAGGCCUCAGUUGGUAAUACAUUGACAUUGUUUACGUUGUUCGGGAAAAUUGUGUGAAAUAUGGUAUCGCUUAACUUCUAAAGAUCGUAAAUCGCUAUAAUGUUCAUGUUGACAUUUUACUAAAACCAUCCAUAGGAAUUGUUUCACUGAAUUGAACGGUGGUAUUUUCAUCAACAUAGCAUGUACUGAACCAAAGAUAUAUGAACCUCCAAAGUAAACCGACGAUAUGAUUAGAUAUGUCCAUAUCGAUCUGCUUUAAUUAUGCGCAAGCGAAAGAGUAUGCCAGACAGCCUUUUAAUAACUACAAAAUUUCAUAAACCAACGGCUCUUUCGUAUGCCUUUAAAUUAACUACAAAAUUCCAUAAACCAACGGCUCUUUCGUAUGCCUUUAACUACAAAAUUUCAUAAACCAACGGCUCUUUCGUAUGCGUUUAACUACAAAAUUCCAUAAACCAACGGCUCUUUCGUAUGCCUUUAACUACAAAAUUCCAUAAACCAACGACUCUUUCGUAUGCCUUUAACUACAAAAUUCCAUAAACCAACGGCUCUUUCGUAUGCGUUUAACUACAAAAUUUCAUAAACCAACGGCUCUUUCGUAUGCCUUUAACUACAAAAUUCCAUAAACCAACGGCUCUUUCGUAUGCCUUUAACUACAAAAUUUCAUAAACCAACGGCUCUUUCGUAUGCGUUUAAUGAACUACAAUAUUUCGCACAUGCGCAGACUACAAACUGUCACACUAAACUUUUUUAUGGUAUUGUAACAUAGUGGUUAACUGUUCAUGCGCAGGCUAACCACAAAAAAACUGAAGCAAGCAUCAUAUGAACUGAAAUAGGAAAUAGGUAACACGGAACUGAAAUAGGAAAUAGGCAAUUCGAAUUAGGAAAUAGGUAAUUCGGAUUACUGCACGUGAUCACCGAUCUAUCCGCAAUUAUAAUUCUGGUAUACUCAGUAAUCGUCGUAACCUCCGGAAAAUUAAAUUAAGCAGCAAUACCUCGUAUACCUUCUUACCCUCCUUGUUCCUAUCCAACUCGAGGUCAUUAGUCAAUAAAAUCGAUGAGCUGUCUGGAACUGUUUCUUCACUUUCUUUGGAUAUUGUGGUCAUUACGGAAACUUGGCUUUCUCCUAAUGUCAGCAAUUCAGCGAUAAAUCUAAAUGGCUUCUCCAUAUUCAAGCGUGACCGACGAGAUGGUAGAAGAGGUGGAGGUGUUUGUGUUUAUGUAAACGAUCGUAUGCCAGUAGUUCAUCUUAAGGAACUUUCACAUCCCGAAGUUCAAUCGUUAUGGCUCCUAAUAAAACCAAGUCGACUACCACGUGGAAUUAAUUCUAUAAUUUUAGUCGCUAUUUGCCAUCCACCGAAAAGCGACGAUAGGGCCCUGUUAACACACCUUAUCGAGUCCCUCGACAGUGCAUUAACAUCCUAUCCUGCGUCAGCUAUCAUCAUUGCAGGCGAUUUUAACCAAUUUAGGCACAGUCAACUAUGUAACUCGUUUUCCCUUAAACAGGUUGUUAAGCAUGCAACAAGAGGAUCCAACAUCUUAGACAAAAUAUUUACAAAUGCGUCCAAAUUUUGCAACGUUCCAGAGAUUCUCACACCUGUCCGUUUCUCUGACCAUAACUCAGUGUUGAUAAAACCGCUGAAGCAAUGUAUGAACUCCCGGAGUACCCGAAUGGUCAGAGACACG